CAAUAAGCGGAGGAAAAGAAACCCACAGGGAUUGCCUCAGUAGCGGCGAGUGAAGCGGCAAGAGCUCAGAUUUGAAAUCGUGCUUCGCGGCACGAGUUGUAGAUUCGCAGGUUGGAGUCUGUGUGGAAGGCGGUGUCCAAGUCCCUUGGAACAGGGCGCCCAGGAGGGUGAGAGCCCCGUGGGAUGCCGGCGGAAGCAGUGAGGCCCUUCUGACGAGUAGAGUUGUUUGGGAAUGCAGCUCCAAGCGGGUGGUAAAUUCCAUCUAAGGCUAAAUACUGGCGAGAGACCGAUAGCGAACAAGUACUGUGAAGGAAAGAUGAAAAGCACUUUGAAAAGAGAGUGAAACAGCACGUGAAAUUGUUGAAAGGGAAGGGUAUUGCGCCCGACAUGGGGAUUGCGCACCGCUGCCUCUCGUGGGCGGCGCUCUGGGCUUUCCCUGGGCCAGCAUCGGUUCUUGCUGCAGGAGAAGGGGUUCUGGAACGUGGCUCUUCGGAGUGUUAUAGCCAGGGCCAGAUGCUGCGUGCGGGGACCGAGGACUGCGGCCGUGUAGGUCACGGAUGCUGGC
rnacentral:rRNA from 1 species